AGCAGCAGCUCAAUGCUGGGAGAGGAGCAGUGAGCUGUGCUGUAAGAAGCAGAGAUGGCCACCCUGACCCUCCUCAGCUUGUUGUGCUUGGCCACAGUGAUGGCCAGAGCUGAUGCCCGUAUAGAGAUGUGUGCUGGAGGCCCUGCCUACUGGUGCCAGAGCCUGAGCACAGCCACCGCUUGUCGGGCUAUCCAACACUGUCUCAAUACAGCCUGGGCUCCUCGUACCAAACCCAGCCAGGCUCCCCACUCGGAGAAAGGGAUCUGUGAACUGUGCAAGAAGAUUGCGCAGCAGGUGCUGACACUGGCUCAAAGUAAGGACGUGCAGCAACGCUUGACGAACAUUCUACACAAGUUGUGUAGCCUGGUCCCUGUCCCUCUGUGGGCGAAGCAAUGCAACAGUUAUGUGGACGGUUUGCUCCCUCUCGCCUUCCAGUUCUUGAACAAAAUGAAGCCUGAUGAGCUGUGUAAGAUGCUGUAUCUGUGCAAAUCUAACAGUAAACAGGAUAAUCAGCCCCAUCUCGCCUCCAGCCCACAGGACAUCUCUCUUCUGCUUUCCAACAAAAUUCCGACCCAACCACAGGCUCAGGCACACGCUGUCUGUGUGUACCUCGCGGUGGAGCUGGAUCACUUUUUGAGCAAGAAUGAAACUCAGCUUGCCCUCCUGGAGGGGCUGAGCAAGCUGUGCUCCCAGCUGCCCGAAACUCUGUCAGCUCAGUGUGAGGAGAUUGUGAAGGAACACGCGAAGAGCGGCCUGGAGAGGAUCGUGAGCCUGGUCACCCCCCAAGCUGUGUGCUCUGCCCUGCACAGCUAUCUCCUGCUGGACAACAGCAGUGGGGAGAUGGGACAAGAGUACUUCCCAAAUGACAUACUCUAGGGGCGAGAAGAGAAUUUGCCUGAACCAAUCGCCAGCACGGAACAAUCGCAACGCCUAUCCCGAGCCGAAGUGACUCGAGAAAACUUCUAGAACGCAAGAAAGAAAAGAGGGGGGGAAAAAAGGCAACCUUGAAUCUCGCUGGCUUGCAAAGUAAUUCAGGGUCUUUCCUGUGGGUAGGAAAAUUCUGUCCUAAAAGCAGCUUUUUGUAGGUUUUCUUUGGAAAAAAAAGAGAAAUGGUUUUGCUAAACGGUUACAUCAGCUUAGAAUGCGAUUACUUCAGAGGCCGAGUCACAGAACAGAACAAAACAGAACUUCAUAGAAUUAUACGGCACAGAGGGAGGCCAUUCGGCCCAUCAUGUCUGUACCGCUCUUUGAAAAGAGCUUCCAAAUCAACCCCACUCCCCCGCUCUCUCCCCAUAGCCCUGUAAACUUGUCCUCCCCAAAUGAUUAUCUACUUCUCUCUUAAAAGUUGUUAUGGAAUCGGCUUCCACCGGCCUUUCAGGCAACACAUUCCAGAUCCCAACAACUCGCUGUGUGAAAAUGUAAAGAAAACCUAACAGUUCCACAUGAGACUUGGAAGGACUCACAGACUCUCAACCCCAACCCAAACCCAUCCCGACCCCCACCUCCCAAUGGGCUGCUAUGUGUGUCUCCCUAUAGCAACCAGACAAAUAGCUUGAGUAUAAUGGGAUGAGUAUAGGGGUGUCUCCAGCGUAGCUGCACUCACUCGCUCCAGCUAAAACUGUCCAGAAGUCAUGCCUCAACCACUUACUAAUCUGCUUGAAUAAAACUCUUUUUGCUGGUUA